rnacentral:pre_miRNA from 1 species
UCUUGUGGAUGAGCAAAGAAAAGUGGUUUCUUGAGGUGGAAUCUGCUUCUGGUGAAGAUGCUGUGAG